GAUCAUGGCUCAGGACGAACGCCGGCGGCGUGCUUAACACAUGCAAGUCGAACGAGAAUCUGUGGAACGAGGAUUCGUCCAAGUGAAGCAGAGGACAGUGGCGGACGGGUGAGUAACGCGUGAGGAACCUGCCUUUCAGAGGGGGACAACAGUUGGAAACGACUGCUAAUACCGCAUGACACAUUGAAGUCGCAUGGCUUUAAUGUCAAAGAUUUAUCG
rnacentral:rRNA from 1 species